UACGUAGGGCGCAAGCGUUGUCCGGAAUUAUUGGGCGUAAAGAGCGUGUAGGCGGCCAUACAGGUCCGUUGUGAAAACUGGAGGCUUAACCUCCAGACGUCGAUGGAAACCGUAUGGCUAGAGUCCGGAAGAGGAGAGUGGAAUUCCUGGUGUAGCGGUGAAAUGCGCAGAUAUCAGGAAGAACACCCGUGGCGAAGGCGGCUCUCUGGGACGGUACUGACGCUGAGACGCGAAAGCGUGGGGAGCGAACAGG
rnacentral:rRNA from 1 species